rnacentral:rRNA from 1 species
GACGAACGCUGGCGGCGUGCUUAACACAUGCAAGUCGAACGGUAAGACCCUGCUUUUGUGGGAUGCUCGAGUGGCGAACGGGUGAGUAACACGUGAGUAACCUGCCCUUGACUUUGGGAUAACUUCAGGAAACUGGGGCUAAUACCGGAUAGGAGCUCCUGCUGCAUGGUGGGGGUUGGAAAGUUUCGGCGGUUGGGGAUGGACUCGCGGCUUAUCAGCUUGUUGGUGGGGUAGUGGCUUACCAAGGCUUUGACGGGUAGCCGGCCUGCGAGGGUGACCGGCCACAUUGGGACUGAGAUACGGCCCAGACUCCUACGGGAGGCAGCAGUGGGGAAUAUUGCACAAUGGGCGGAAGCCUGAUGCAGCAACGCCGCGUGCGGGAUGACGGCCUUCGGGUUGUAAACCGCUUUCGCCUGUGACGAAGCGUGAGUGACGGUAAUGGGUAAAGAAGCACCGGCUAACUACGUG